rnacentral:lncRNA from 1 species
UGGCACCAGCAGAUCUGCCUGUGCAUGGACUUCCUGUACUACCUCACUCCUGAGGGGAGAUGUUUCUGCAGGGCCUAUGACCUGGUGCACAACUUUAGACACCAUCAUCCUGGAGCAGCACUGCACCCUCACUAGCCAGGGUGUUGACAUCCUCAAGGCCAGGGCCACAUUCAAGACUUUGGACUUCAUUGACGCACUUUUGCUGAGCAAGCUUAUCUGAUCUCCUGGGAUCUCUACUAGGAUGCUGGCAGCCCAGCCGGCUGGUCUGGCCCUGGACGUGCUUUCAGGGGCUGAUUAUGCUUCAUGACCUGUGUUGUGAUCCUGGUCAGAGUAAAACAUUCCAUGGGAACUCGGGCUGUGAGAAACAUCCUAACCACCUGACUGCAGAAACAUCCUUAUCACAUCCUGCUGGGCAAAGGCCCAACAGCCUGACUUCAGGAACAUCCUUAUCAUCUUCUACUGAGCAGCAAGCGAUACUGUCCAGAGCCCUCCCUCCCAGCCCCAUGAUUACCCCAGCCUGUAAGCGGCAGUGGGCGCUGACACUAAGCUGGUUUCCCCCUCCGCAGGGUUUUGCUAGUAAUAAAUCUGUGUUGCUGUUGAA